rnacentral:rRNA from 1 species
UACGGAGGGUGCAAGCGUUAAUCGGAAUUACUGGGCGUAAAGCGCACGUAGGCGGUUUGCUAAGCCAGCUGUGAAAUCCCCGGGCUCAACCUGGGCACUGCAGUUGGAACUGGCAAGCUAGAGUAGGGUAGAGGGGUGUGGAAUUCCAGGUGUAGCGGUGAAAUGCGUAGAUAUCUGGAGGAACAUCAGUGGCGAAGGCGACACCCUGGACUCAUACUGACACUGAGGUGCGAAAGCGUGAGGAGCAAACAGG